rnacentral:rRNA from 1 species
AUUGAACGCUGGCGGCAGGCCUAACACAUGCAAGUCGAACGAGUGGCGGACGGGUGAGUAAUGUCUGGGAAACUGCCCGAUGGAGGGGGAUAACUACUGGAAACGGUAGCUAAUACCGCAUACCAUCGGAUGUGCCCAGAUGGGAUUAGCUAGUAGGUGGGGUAACGGCUCACCUAGGAGACGAUCCCUAGCUGGUCUGAGAGGAUGACCAGCCACAUUGGAACUGAGACACGGUCCAGACUCCUACGGGAGGCAUCAGUGGGGAAUUUUGCACAAUGGGCGCAAGUCUGAUGCAGCCAUGCCGCGUGUAUGAAGAAGUCCUUCGGGUUGUAAAGUACUUUCAGCGAGGAGGCGUUACUCGCAGAAUAAGCACCGGCUAACUCCGUGCCAGCAGCCGCGGUAAUAC